GACGAACGCUGGCGGCAUGCCUAAUACAUGCAAGUCGAGCGAACAGAUGAAGUGCUUGCGCUUCUGACGUUAGCGGCGAACGGGUGAGUAACACGUAAGGGAUCUACCUAUAAGCGGGGGAUAACAUUCGGAAACGGGUGCUAAUACCGCAUAAUAUCUUCUUCCGCAUGGAAGAAGAUUGAAAGACGGCUCUGCUGUCACUUAUAGAUGACCUUGCGGUGCAUUAGUUAGUUGGUGGGGUAAUGGCCUACCAAGACGAUGAUGCAUAGCCGACCUGAGAGGGUGACCGGCCACAUUGGGACUGAGACACGGCCCAAACUCCUACGGGAGGCAGCAGUAGGGAAUCUUCCGCAAUGGGCGAAAGCCUGACGGAGCAAUGCCGCGUGAGUGAAGAAGGCCUUCGGGUCGUAAAACUCUGUUAUAAGAGAAGAACAAAUUGUAGAGUAACUGCUACAGUCUUGACGGUAUCUUAUCAGAAAGCCACGGCUAACUACGUGCCAGCAGCCGCGGUAA
rnacentral:rRNA from 1 species